rnacentral:rRNA from 1 species
UACGAGGGGGGCGAGCGUUGUUCGGAAUUAUUGGGCGUAAAGGGUGCGUAGGCGGCCUGACAAGUCUGAUGUGAAAUCCCUGGGCUCAACCCAGGGCCUGCAUCGGAAACUGUCGGGCUUGAGUAUGGGAGAGGUGAGUGGAAUUCCACGUGUAGCGGUGAAAUGCGUAGAGAUGUGGAGGAACACCAGUGGCGAAGGCGGCUCUCUGGACUGUAACUGACGCUGAGGCGCGAAAGCGUGGGGAGCAAACAGG